rnacentral:rRNA from 1 species
AUUGAACGCUGGCGGCAGGCCUAACACAUGCAAGUCGAACGGUAGCACAGAGAGCUUGCUCUCGGGUGACGAGUGGCGGACGGGUGAGUAAUGUCUGGGAAACUGCCCGAUGGAGGGGGAUAACUACUGGAAACGGUAGCUAAUACCGCAUAACGUCGCAAGACCAAAGUGGGGGACCUUCGGGCCUCACACCAUCGGAUGUGCCCAGAUGGGAUUAGCUAGUAGGUGGGGUAAUGGCUCACCUAGGCGACGAUCCCUAGCUGGUCUGAGAGGAUGACCAGCCACACUGGAACUGAGACACGGUCCAGACUCCUACGGGAGGCAGCAGUGGGGAAUAUUGCACAAUGGGCGCAAGCCUGAUGCAGCCAUGCCGCGUGUAUGAAGAAGGCCUUCGGGUUGUAAAGUACUUUCAGCGGGGAGGAAGGCGGUGAAGUUAAUAACUUCACCGAUUGACGUUACCCGCAGAAGAAGCACCGGCUAACUCCGUGCCAGCAGCCGCAGUAA